ACACCUGUUAUGAAUAUAGAUUUUGCCCUAAAAUAACAAAGCUCACGGUAUACUCUCCAGUUGUGUCCUCACUGGCUGCUGGGUUUUUAACCUCUUCAUUGACUGAGGGGGAGGAGAUCAUUCCAGCAUAGCCAACUAUGCUGGAGUGUACAUUCAGUAAACUGAACAGACUGAGUGUAUUAAUGCAGAAGAGAUAUGGCAUGUCCUGUAAAAAACUGCUAUCUGCUUGCAGUAUUUAACAAACUGUUUAGUUUUGCUUUAACAUGUCGCUUAUUCUGCAGUACUGGAUUAUUUAAAAGGAGGGGCUUAUUAAAAGUCCAGGAUUUCCCAUGCACCAUCCAGCCUCCGCUCUGGUACUCCUAAAGAUUGGCACCAAUCUGCUUUAGCACUGAUUAAACUUUGGCUCUAAUCCAAGCCAUGACAGCAUUUUUUUUUGCUGCUGUGGAUAGUAGUGAGCCUAGAUAAACAUUUCCUCGACGGUCGCCAUUUAGGGAUUCCUGUGCUUACUUGGCAACAUUUUCAGGAAAUGACACUUGUAUGCUUCAGUAGUGAUGGGAUUAUUUAUGCUUUUUCCUCAAAAAAUUUUUUUUUUAAUUCUAGCGUUAAAGGUAUACUCUAAAGAACUAAUUGCACAUAUGAUGCAUCCCAGGGUCAACACUUGUGUUUGAGUGGAAUUGGAAAUGGCUUGUAGACUGUGGCUGAAUGCAUUUAAUGCAUGACAGAACCUUUUGGGUCCAAGAAUGAAGUGUCCCUCAGUAACUAAACUGAAGGUUACAGGCUGGUGUAAUAAAAAAAAAGGAGUUGCAUUAACAAUGGCUUUAAUUUGCUGAAAUGAUACCCAUAACUGAAUAAUAAUCUUAAAAGAGGGAAAAACUGCGCUAAACCACAAGAAGCAGCCAGCACUCAAAAUAAAUGGAAAUAUAGGUAAUUGGUGUGGUGCUAGACGUGUCGGAACACAAUGCUUGUAGUGACAUGCUCCAUAAUGGAUACAAAAAAAUGUGAUUCAAAUAAAUCCAUGUGCAAAGACCAGACACCACAAACUAAGUGAUGCACUAUGUGGUAGUCGUGUAUCUUUCCAAUCGCUGACGUAGACUGAAUAUCUAGUUGUCUGUAGGGAUCGCCAACUUGUCAAUUAAAUUCUUUGUAUUCAGUGGAAUCAAAUUUAGACCUGAUGGUAUUCAGCUCAAACAUUUGGCUUGCAAGGGUUCCAGUGUAGAGGACAAAUGGUUGAUUUGGUGUUUGGGCUCAGCUUAUAUUUGCUCUUUUCUGUGAUGUAACUUUUUUUUUUUUUUUUUUCCAGGGUUACAGGCUGGUGUAAUAAAAAAAAAGGUAAGAUUGCCACAAGACUUAAAUUAAAAAAAUUAUACUGGUCCAUGAUGAGUUUAACAAAAUCUGUGGACAGUUUGGAUGAGAUAUGCGGAUAUGGGACUGAGACCAGUGUAAUGCAAUAACUUGUAACUAAACCCCAUUGCCAUAAGAUUAACACUUUCCACAAUUUUCUUUUGCAGGAGUUGCAUGAAGAACAGAAAUGGCUUUAAUUUGCUGCAUAUGAUACCCAUAACUGAAUAAAAAUCUUGCCUUAACUUGUCA